CCAAUAGCGUAUAUUAAAGUUGCUGCAGUUAAAAAGCUCGUAGUUGAAUUUCGGGACUAAUAUGUCGGUCGUGCCUCGGUACGUACUGGUAUUUUUGGUUUCUCCCUUCUGACGAACCUUGAUGUCAUUAAUUUGGUGUCUUGGGAAAUCAGGACUGUUACUUUGAAAAAAUUAGAGUGUUUAAAGCAGGCUCACGCUUGAAUACAUUAGCAUGGAAUAAUGAAAUAGGACGUUUGAUUCUAUUUUGUUGGUUUCUAGGAUUGACGUAAUGAUUAAUAGGGAUAGUUGGGGGCAUUAGUAUUCAAUUGUCAGAGGUGAAAUUCUUGGAUUUAUUGAAGACUAACUACUGCGAAAGCAUUUGCCAAGGAUGUUUUCAUUAAUCAAGAACGAAAGUUAGGGGAUCGAAGACGAUCAGAUACCGUCGUAGUCUUAACCAUAAACUAUGCCGACUAGGAAUCAGACGAUGUUAAUUUUUUAAUGACUCGUUUGGCACCUUACG
rnacentral:misc_RNA from 1 species